GUGCUCACUUUAAAAGCACAUACACUGAAACUGGAAUGAUAGAGAGAUUAGCAUGGCCCCUAUGCAAAGAUGACAGGUAAAUCAAUGAAGUGUUCCAUAUAAAA
ensembl:snRNA U6 U6 spliceosomal RNA